GCAUGUGUGGGGUAGUGGUAACCUGGGUCGUUGCCAGAGAAUUGUCGGAUUUCUGAAUUCGACCCGCCGGGGGUUCGAUUCCCUCCACAUGCA